CCUACGGGUGGCUGCAGUGAGGAAUAUUGGUCAAUGGGCGCGAGCCUGAACCAGCCAAGUCGCGUGAAGGAUGACUGCCCUACGGGUUGUAAACUUCUUUUAUAAAAGAAUAAAGUGAGCCACGUGUCCCUUUUUGAAUGUACUUUAUGAUUAAGGAUCGGCUAACUCCGUGCCAGCAGCCGCGGUAAUACGGAGGAUCCGAGCGUUAUCCGGAUUUAUUGGGUUUAAAGGGAGCGUAGAUGGGUUGUUAAGUCAGUUGUGAAAGUUUGCGGCUCAACCGUAAAAUUGCAAUUGAUACUGGCCGUCUUGAGGACAGUUGAGGUAGGCGGAAUUCGUGGUGUAGCGGUGAAAUGCUUAGAUAUCACGAAGAACUCCGAUUGCGAAGGCAGCUUACUAAACUGUCACUGACAUUGAUGCUCGAAAGUGUGGGUAUCAAACAGGAUUAGAUACCCCAGUAGUC
rnacentral:rRNA from 1 species